AAAUAAAUGGGAUGACUUUUGCAUCUUUUUUCCUUCAUCGGCCUCUGUUGGAUGUCAUGAUAUUUGGAAGUAAAAUGACUAAGUGGCAGAAAGAUUCAAGGAGGAUAUCACUGGUUGACAAGAUCAACAAUUUCCCUGAACGGUGUAGCAGGAAGGACUUCAGCAGAGCCAACAAGGAAUUCUCAAAAGUAAACUAAGUACCUGGACCCCCAAAGCCCCAGCAAUGGACACAGGACACCAUUCUUGCGCUUCCUUCCCACCACAGACACAGACUUGCUCGUUCCAGUCUUCAAGCCCAGAAAUCCUACCACACCUGCUCAAGGCCAUUCCAAUUAUGGCCUCCUCCAGGAACUUUCCCAGUUGCACCUUCUUUGAAGGCCCACAGCAUGCUGCAGCCUCCUUGCAGCAUUUACCACACUCAGGAUCAUGUUAGUGAUUGUGGAUGUAUUGCCACCAAUGGACUGAGAGGACAAAAUACAGACUUUGACUCUGCUUCUCUUAUCAGUAACAUCAGUACUUGCUCAAUUUAAAUUCAGUUCCUAAUUGAUUGCCAAAUGAAUAAACUUUUCCCAGCAACAAACAAUACUUUUCAUCUUAGGCACCAAUUCUGUUUGAUUAACAGUGGUUGCCUGGAGCAAAGUUUCGAGGAUUCUGAGGCCAUGACAGAGCUCAGUAGUGAAGAGUACUGUAAUCAGUGAUGUCUGCCACAGAACAGACGUGGGAAUGGUGGUGCUAAUGGUGAUAAUU
rnacentral:lncRNA from 10 species